UUAGACUCAGCUUCAAUCAGACCUUCAAAAUAUUUACCUUCAAUACACCAACUUACUUUACUUUCACAUGCUCUUGUGUACAUCUAUUUUCUUUCAAGUACACAUGCUUUCUCUUUUUUUUAUGAGCAUUUUUUUGUAUGUACUACAAUUUGUUUUUUGAGAAUUUGAUACUUCUUUUAAACUCCCCCAAACUUAUUUUCAAAGAAUGUACUGAAUAGUAUUGAGUCUAGUGUUUGGGAUAAUUUAAAGAUAAUUAAGAGAGGAGUGAUGGCUAAAUAUUGC
rnacentral:lncRNA from 1 species